UACGAAGGGGGCUAGCGUUGCUCGGAUUUACUGGGCGUAAAGGGCGCGUAGGCGGCAUGACAAGUCACUUGUGAAAUCUCCGGGCUUAACUCGGAACGGUCAAGUGAUACUGUCGCGCUAGAGUGCGGAAGGGGCAAUCAGAAUUCUUGGUGUAGCGGUGAAAUGCGUAGAUAUCAAGAGGAAUACCUGAGGUGAAGACGGGUUGCUAGGCCGACACUGACGCUGAAGCGCGAAAGCCAGGGGAGCAAACGGG
rnacentral:rRNA from 1 species